CGGAAACACAAAAUUUGUUUUUAAAGUCGGUUUUAUUUUACCUGCAUACGAGAACUUAUUUUUAAAAGAAAAGGCAUCAGACGGCUAAGGCGCCAUAGGAACACCGAUGCCGGUGAAGAAGUGGAACGCAUCUCGGGAAGCACACUUUCCCGAUCAUUGUGUCAGUUAAAGACAGAGAGUUAGCACAUGGCCAUGGGAAUGUGGUACCUUGCAAAAGAAACGAUACACCAGAAGGAAUGUCAUUGAAAACAGUAUACUCUCCAAAAGCUGCAAAGCUGCCUCCAUUUCGCUAGCAACGCCCAUCUUCCAACGAUCCAACGAGGACAAUAUAAGGUGCCGACCUCGCAGUAAGGUAUUGAACAGAAAGUAGGCGCAGUGCAUUUCAAUGCAUCAGUGAAACCAGGAUCUUUAUCUCUGAGCUUAAUUGAAAAGAGUGGGUUUGUAACGUGGCUCUAAAAUGCUCUUCGUGCAGGCAGAGCGCUUUAAUUGGGCUAAAUUGAUGAGAAUUGAAAGCACUCAGUUAAAAGCAAGACACCACAUUGGCAGGCGGCCUGUUGUGCCCAGUAACACAAAAGCACAAGGGCUCUUACCUGCACAUUAGCAUAGAGAUGCCAAGGGUGAGGAUCCGCCGUACACGAUUUUAAUAAUAAACACAUUUUCCCGUUAGCCUCCAGCACAAGAGGGAGUCAAACAUUUUCAGAGGCCGUUUGUCAUGCAUCUAUAGACUACUUCAGCUCAUUUCAACCGUAACACAGAACUAAAACAUCGUUUUAGUCAUUAUGGCUUCAGCAUAUUUUGGGAAAUGGAUAAAAAUUGAGUGUAUGUUGGUUGUGUAAGAUUUUUUUUGCUGGAGACUCAAAUGAUCACCCAGAACUCGCUAAUAUAACAUUGCUGGGUAGCUGUAACCUGUUAAAAUGUUUAUGGGCUGUUAAAAAGAAGUCUGCCUUGCUUUGUACGAUUUUAUUUCUAGAGUCUGAAGGCCUAAACUGAGAAUUUUUUUCAAGGAUCCAGGAUCCAGGAUACUGUGUCUACUCACGCUAAUGAGAUUCUGAGUUAUGGUUGGGUCAAGCUCUGUCAUUUGAAGUGUGAAGAGAUGUGGGUCACACACUCAACGGCUGUCAUUUCAGAGUAAAUAUUUUAAAGGAGUUUCUCCUCUUUACAUUUAUAACCAUUAUGUCGUUUUACACUAUUGAAAGGAAUAGAUGGCUGUGAUCUCGUCCAGCUGAGCUCUAGUGCUGUAAUAAUGCCUCUGGCCUUCAGUCAUCCUGGUGUCUUGUGCCUCUACCUGCUGACCUUCAGCAACAGAGGUCACAUCCAGAGCAUUCUUACCUCUUCAACUAAAGCUAAAGAGUUGACCUUGUGUGCUUAGCGUUUCUUAUUCAUUGUUUACCAUAUUUGGUUUUCUUGGUAAAAUACUUUCAUACAAACGCCACAUGCACCACAUACACCACAUAGUUCUUCAGUCUAUCACACAUUGGCGGCUGCCUAGAUUUUGGUUUAGAAUAUUAUAGGCUAUUAUUAAGACCAUUUGAGCUUGAUGAAUGCGGGCGAAAAUAAUGCUGCUGUGGUUGUGUGCAAAAGCUAAAUGUUUUUAUUAUCAUUAUAAUCGGAUAACAUUACAAUAAGUUGCAUGUUUCAAAUUGAUGACAUUUCUGCAAAAAAAUGAAAAUAUGCAACACUGAAGGUCAAAAAUUGAGACAAUUUAUUAUUUAUGAAACAAGCUUAUUUGUUGGCUGAUGACGGGCAGCUUUUUUGCUGGUUGCUGGUUUGAACUCAAGUGCCAUCACAUUGUUUUGCCUUAAAUUAAUGCAAUCAUAAUAUGUUUGAGAAGUAUUCUUGAGGGGAAGAUAAGUGCAUAUAAAUACUAUCAGAGGUGGGCGAAUCUGUGCGUUUCAUUUCAUGGUCAUAAUUCUCUCUAUGGAUGAUUGCAGAUUUGAUGGACAGCUGAAAAGAACAUGCUCUUGCCUUUAAAAAAAAUGGACACUGAAGCCACACUUAUUAAUGUCCAAUGUCAAGUGUGUUUAUCUGCAUGUCUUAUGCUGUAUGUUCUGUUCUUUUCAGCAACUUGUUUUUGAGGUCUCAAGUUCCUUUGAAGGAAUGAAAAAGGAAAUGUGCUGAAAUGUAGAUGAGUUUCUUUGAAGAAAUGUAACACUGCAUCACUCGAAAAAAUGAGUCCAUCAUCCAUAAUGUUUUUUUUUCUCAACCUCAUUCCAUAGCUAUGCAUUAGGUUCUUCUCUCUUUAUUGUCCAAACAAUUCAG